AUCAACAUCCGCACCUGUUGGCCAGACCACAGUAUGUUCUAGCGGCGCAUCCCGCCAAAACUCGCGCGGACCUGAAGAUGACUCGCGCGAAGAGUCCGAAACGUUGCAACCGCGCGUCUUCCGCACUCGGCCGGCCAGUGGUGGCCUCCCAAUGAUCCCGGAUGGCUAGUGCGUUCUCCCGUGGACAGCAGGGACCCUGAGGAGUGAAAUGAUGAGUGUAGAAACGUCGGGUUGACGCGCUGAAGAUCUCUCGACUUUCGCAACGACGGAAAACUUCACUGAAGAGAGGAAAGUCGAGAUAACCGCGGAAGAAAAAAAAGGGACAAUAAUAAAUAACAGAUUUCGAAUUUUAAAGUUUAGGUGGUUUAGGUGUAACUAGUCGGUCAAUUCGUAAAUUAAAUUUAACUUUUGCUCAAGGUAGAUUUUGAAACAGUUUAGCUUACGCUCCUUUAUCCGAAAAUCUUCCAUUUUUAUAUUUAUCGUACGAGAUUGAGCUUGAUUUUUAGCCGUUCUAGCGCCUUAGCGUAAUUCAUGACUGAAGUGAUUGUGGAAAAGUUAGUGAGGUGAUGUGUUUGUGAGAUGAUGGUUUCUUUUUUAAAAGGGGGGUUAUGGUAAUGGAUUGCAGCCAUGACGAUGUGGCAGAGUGGCAUGGGGGGACACGGGGGGAAGAACAAUGCCUGGAUGAAGUUGAUGGGCAUAGUUCACAAAGAGAGGAGGCACCAUGAUUCUGGACCAUCUGGUGGGGAUCGCGCUCUUAGCCAGUCGCUGCCCAAGCUCAGCAGCCAGGAAGAGGACGGGCACACCCCCCACUCCCAGUUCACUGGCGUAGCUCACUUUGAGCCUAUCCCUCAUGACCACGACUUCUGUGAAAGGGUCGUGAUAAACGUGAGUGGGCUUCGGUUCGAGACGCAGCUGCGCACGCUGAACCAGUUUCCUGACACGCUGCUGGGCGAUCCCGCACGGCGCAUACGCUACUUCGACCCGCUGCGCAACGAGUACUUCUUCGACCGCAACCGGCCCUCCUUCGAUGCCAUCCUGUACUACUACCAGAGCGGCGGCCGACUCAGACGUCCCGUCAACGUGCCCCUGGACGUCUUCUCCGAGGAGAUCAAGUUCUACGAGCUGGGCGAGUUGGCCAUCAACAAGUUCAGAGAGGACGAAGGAUUCAUCAAAGAAGAGGAAAAACCCCUGCCAUCUCACGAGAUGCAGCGAAACGUGUGGCUGCUGUUCGAGUACCCGGAAUCGUCACAGGCGGCGCGGGUGGUCGCCAUCAUCUCCGUCUGCGUCAUCCUGCUCUCGAUCGUCAUCUUCUGUCUGGAGACGCUGCCGCAGUUCAAACACUACAAAGUUUUCAACACCACCACGAACAGCACCAAGAUCGAGGAGGACGAGGUGCCCGAAAUCACCGAUCCCUUCUUCCUCAUCGAGACCAUCUGCAUCGUCUGGUUCACCUUUGAACUCUCCGUGCGCUUCCUGGCUUGUCCCAACAAAUUGCAUUUCUUCCGGGACCUCAUGAACUUUAUCGACAUCAUCGCCAUCAUUCCGUAUUUCAUAACUCUGGCGACAGUGAUCGCCGAAGGGAAAGACACGUUAGACCUGCCGCGAGCGCCGGUCACGCCACAGGACAAGAGCACCAACCAGGCGAUGUCUCUCGCCAUCCUGAGGGUCAUACGGCUGGUUCGAGUCUUCCGAAUAUUCAAGCUGAGCCGGCACAGCAAGGGCCUGCAGAUACUUGGUCGGACGCUGAAGGCCAGUAUGCGAGAGCUGGGUCUGCUCAUCUUCUUCCUGUUCAUAGGUGUCGUGCUGUUCUCGAGUGCCGUCUACUUCGCAGAGGCGGGCUCAGAGAAUUCCUUCUUCAAGUCCAUCCCAGACGCGUUCUGGUGGGCAGUGGUCACCAUGACGACCGUGGGCUACGGCGACAUGACGUAUGAUGCCUGUCGGAGUCUGGGGCAAGAUCGUGGGCUCCCUGUGCGCCAUCGCCGGCGUCCUGACCAUAGCCCUUCCAGUGCCUGUGAUCGUUUCCAACUUCAACUACUUCUAUCACCGUGAGACGGACCAGGAGGAGAUGCAGUCGCAGAACUUUAACCACGUGACCAGCUGCCCGUACCUGCCAGGCACCUUGGGCCAACACAUGAAGAAGAGCUCGCUGAGCGAGUCCUCUAGCGAUCUGGUGGAGUUCGAGGAGGGUGUGCUGGUGACGAGAGACCAGCUGAUCAGAAAGCAGAACUGCAACCCGCGGCACAACAACAAUAUCAACGCCAUGAGCAUCGAGACUGACGUUUGACUACGAGUGACGGAUGUGCUGCACUUGCAACCUCCAGACUGGCUGGCGAAGGGCCCCUCCACAGGUCGAUUGAGGGGUAAACCUCUCCACUCGAAGCGAGAAGCAACAUCAAGAACCAGCCAGAACCUGCAGCAUCGCAUAAACAUUGAGUGCGUGUUGAGUGCAGUGCUCCGAACGCUCAAUAGACCCUUAAAACAAAUUCACACAUAUAUUUGUUCUCCUCGGUACUUUUGUAUUAUUAUUACCAUAACGAUUGUUUUUGGGUGAGAUAUCCUGCCAAAAAUACUUAAUAUAUAAAUAUAACUUAGUAAACUGAGGGUAUAUCACAGCUGAUUCUCGAAUCGUAUUUUUUAAGUAUAUUUACGAAGGUGAAUUCAUGAGUAUUCGUUGCAAAUUUCAAGAGAUAUAUUCGCUAGAGGGCGCUGUCCAUGUAUCGGCUCAGGGGAUAUUUGAGAAAAAUAAAACUACAAUCAAAACACGUUUUAAACAUAACUGGAAAAUAAGGAACAUAUAUUAACGAAAAAACUUAGAAUUUCUAUUUUGCCGUCAAUAUUUCCAUCGAUAUCUACGUCUGAGUUGACGUCAAUUAAUUUGAAUGGAAAACAGAUGGGCUGUUGGCCAAUGGAAAAUAUUGAUGCAACUAUUGGCAAUAACGAAGAUCUCAACUAAUGAAGUAAUGAAGAUGAAUCGAAACAUUGUAGUGCGAUCCAAAAAUAAACAUUGGAAAACAACGAGAAUUCAAAACUUUUGAAAAAUUAUUAUCCAUUCGUCAGUCCGUUUUUUGCUAUAAUUUACUUAAGAGGAAAUUUUUUCCUUGGGGAAGUGGAAGCUGCCAUAAAAAUACACGAAGAGGUAUUUUUCAAAUCCAUGAAUAAAAUUAAUUAAACUUUUCUGCGCUCAAUUAAGAGAAAUUUUCAACAAUUUUUUUCCAAAUAAUUUUAAUAAUUUUCAUAAUUUAAAGGUCAGAAGAUUAACAUUCAUAGUUAAUGAUUUAAUUAUGUAAAGAUUUCGUUAAAAUCGUUAAAUAGAAACAAUUAAUUUUUUCUAAAUUCUGAAUGCUUCAUUAGUAAUAAAACUAUUUUGGAUAAUAAUUUUCCCCCCUUUUAGAACUCAACUAUUCUACAGAGCAAAUAUAUGAGAUUGCUGUUCCUGAAUGUGCUACUUUAACGGAAAUUUACGUGCACCCAACUGCUCAAUCGAAGAACGAAGUAGCACCGGAGUGAAUAAAUCUAAAAUUAAAAAAAAAAUCCUCGAUCUUUUCGAAAAAGUCCCCCUGUUUUCAUCUGAACCGAGGCAUCAUAGAAUCGUUCGAUCCUAAAAAAUUAGUUGUUCAAAUUUUAUGGGAGAAAUAUAGGAUAAAUUCAACUUUAAAGAUCAGUAGAGAGGUGUUCUUGUAUCGUUAAAUAGAAUACUGCUGUUUGUUAAAAUUCCGUAGUUAAGGUAUUCAUUCUUUUUUCGAUUAAAACUACUGAUGCACAUUGAGAUAUUCCAAAUGAUAUCUACGAAAAAAUUAUCUGCCGAAGCAUUACAAAAUGAGAGUUAGGAGCCUAAAGCAAAAAAAACAAUAUAUUCACAGUGAAACAAUAAGAUAAGCAAGAAUUGAUAAAAAUAGUUUGCUGAAAUUGUUAAUAUUAAGUAGAGCUUAAUAGAGCCAGAAUAGGACUUUUAAAAUGAUGCCUCGUUCAAAACAAUCCCAAUUCUCUUGAAUACGCGGUGUAUAUUUAAAUUUAAGUGGUAUGAAUUUAUAUAUUACAUUACAAUUAGGUACAUUGUAUAUAUGUAAAUUUUUGAGGAGUCUCAGUUAUUUAUCGGAUAUACUUUUUUUUUUGUAAAGUGUAAGAGUACGCCUACAUACAAACGAAAAAUAUCAAAGAAAAGGGAGAAUCAACAGUAGAUUCACUGAAAUUUUACCAUAUAAAUAGCGAAUUUAUAUAUUUUUGAAUCACGAUUAUGCAUCAUCAAUUUCAAAGGAAAUAAAAACAAAUAUUCGGUUCAAAUUAUCUAAACAAGUCUUUUUUAAGACUGGACUAAUUUCUACAUAUCAAGCUGCAAGCAAUAAUAAUGAUGAGGCAGUGAAACCUUUUCUCUCCUUUUUUUCUUUUUUUUAUUCUCUUUACUAUCCUUUUUUUCUUCUCCUCUCUUCUCUUUAAUUUUCUUUUCUCUCUUCUCUCUUCUCCUCUUGUCUUCUCUUUCAUAUUUUUUACCUAUCUUUUCUUUUCUCUUCUUCUCUUUUCUCUUCUUCUCUUCUUCUCUUUUCUCUUCUUCUCUUUCCUCUUCUUCUCUUUUCGAAUCGUUUAUUUUCUUUUCUUCUAUCUUUAAACUUCAUGAAAAGGUUUCAAAGCCUCCUGGGGUAUUAUUCGAAACAUAACUCGAAAUUACGUUAAUUAUAUACUUCUAGAAUGUAAACUUGAUUCAGAAAAAAAAACAGUCUUAUCCCAUUCUUAUAAAGCUACACUGCCAUAAAAUUUCGAUCAUGCAAAACCGAAAGUAAUCGCAAAAAAAAUCACUUCAUAGUAUGGAUAACUAAAAAAAAAACCGUUAAAAAACCGAACUUUUCUUUUCGUACAUUGCGGAUUUUCACCUUCAAAAAGACAUUUACGAAGAAUAUUGAAUAAGUAUAAAGUAUGAAUUUGUAAAUAUGAUAUUAUGAUAAGUUGAAAAAUUCUGUGAUUAAGAUUUAAGAGUAAACUUUAACCGUUUCAUUCAUAUAUAUUUUUAAUGAAGACCAUUGUUUCAAAUUCAAAGGUCACGUUAUAGUUAUUUUCCAAGGUUGCCGUUUUGCUGGCACGCACAACGGAAUAUAUUUGGUCGACAAUUUUUUUUUUUAGAGGUUACAACUAAAACUUGAAUCUUACGAUUUUGAAAUGUGGAUAAUCUACGUUUUUAGAGAAUUUUUAAGAAUCCUGAAAAAAUUUUUAAAAUAUUGAUUAAAUUUUUCGGUACCUCUCAAUCAGUAGCAACUCUUCUAUUUUCAUGCAAAGAAAGAAUUUCCUAUUUUAAUAACAAUGUUUAAUGUCAACACAAUAUAUUUCAUCUAAAAAUUUUCCUAACAGAAUUUUAAUCGCCUAAUUUGAAUCAAAAAAAAUAUUUUGAGAAUAAGAGAAAUUAAUUUUCCACCAUUAGUAUAUUCAAUAUGAAGUUUAUUUAUUUGAUAUAUUGAGAAGCAUACAAUUGAAGAUGAAAUUAAAUUGUUAGUACAACAAUCACAAUCAUAAAAACUCUAUUAUUCAAAAAUAAAAUCUAAAGGAAAAUUCGUAAGGUGAAAAUAAUAUUUUUGACUUGCAACCCAGCAUUACUAUUUUAUUAUGAUAUUCUCAUGUCAAACAAUAUUUUCGAAGUGCUAAUUUUCAAAUUGUUUUCAGGAAAAUUUUAAUUGCUCAGUUCAAUAAAAAAAACAAUUCUUCAAGAAUAAAAAAAAAUGUAUUAAAUUAAAUGAUCAACUUAAUAUGAACAUAUUCAUCGUAAUUUAAUUACAAUUAAUUUAAUCAAUCGUAAUUUAAUCACUAUUAAUCCAAUUUUUAAUUAAUGAAUUUUAAUUUAAUUACGAUUAAUUAAAUUAAUAAUUAAUUGAUCGUAAUAAAAUUACGAUGAAUAUGAAGUUUAUUUUUCGAAUAUAUUAAAAAAUAUUCGAAUGAAGAUGAAAUAUUAUUGUUAGUACAACAGUGAAAAUAAUUUUUGCUUGAAAAUUCUGUUUUAUUAAAAAAAAAAAAUUAGUAUUUUGAGAUCAAUAUUUCAAACUGGCAAUUUAAUAUGUCUAUUAUAAACGAUAUUCGCUCUCUGAAAAUAUUCGAAAAUGAGUUUUAAAACCAUUUUUUCAGCAAUUUCCUCAUCAAAAUUCAAUUUAUAUCAUAGUUGUUUGAAAUUUUAAACUUUUUUUUAUUUUUCGAGUGUUUUGCAUUUCGUCUUAGUUGCAGGGUUAUUUUUAAACAUGUAUUGUUGGAACUAUGUAAUCUUAUUUUCGAAUUUGUGGUAAUUGACCCGAAAAUAACUAUAAUGGUGAAUUUUGAACACUUGGAAAGUCCAUAAGAAUUCGAUGUGAAUAAAAAAAAACAAUCAGCUGAGAUAUACCUAAUCUUAUGAAUACUGAAUAAUUUGUAAUGAUAACGUAAUUAAAAAAAAAAGAAGUAAAAAAUGGCGCAUCGAAAACGUGUUACAAAAGAUCGCGUAAAAGAUGUGCGAAUGCUGUGUAGUGCUCACACCAAAACUCUGAUUAGUUUUCGGCACUGUUUUAAGUGCUUGUAUUUUUGGGCUGUGUGAAGCUUACCUAGGGUUGGAUUAGCUUUAGCCCUUGUUACAUAUCCACCCCGCGUAGCCGGAACGGACGGGGGGGCAGCGGGGCUCACUUUCACCCACAUUCAGUUUUUGCGAAAAAAAAAUAAAUUUCUCAUUUGCGCCAAAAUUCGUCUUGAUUCAACAACAAAUUUUCGAGAAAGUGUAAAAAAAUUUUUGGAACAGUUUUGACAGGACUAAACGAAGUGUUUGUUGUCUUCAACCCGUUUUGAAAAAAAAAUAUUCAAAGCUAAAAACAAAAUUAUACACAGUUUACCAGCCAACUGGAAUAUUUCGAUAAUGAAGGAAUAUUAGGAUGUGUUAAAAAAAAUGCUCGGUUGAGUCAAAUUUACGGUUUUUUUUCAAUAACAGCUGUUUAUACUGGGUGUAUCGUGUAACAGUUUCCAAUACCAACAAAUAUAAUUUUUGGAUUCUUCUAAACCAAACGAAUUCUUCGUACGAUAUUUAAUAUUUCCCUACGAUAAUUCUGGCAGCUUUUUUUAGCUAAAUUCACCUCGUCAGGGAGCUGGGUUUCGAAAAAAUGAAGCAUGAUUUUCUGAAAAAAUGCAAAAACUGAAAAAUUCAGAAUUUUGUAUUUGAAGAAAAAAGUUGGUAUUGGUAACUCUUUAGACAAGCUUCCAGCAAUUCCUCAGUUAUCGAAUUUAUUGUUUUUAGCUGAGACACUCUGUAAAUAUUUCGUUUUCCUCCUGAAAUACUAAAGUUUUGACAAGCAUUUUGAUUAUUAUGUUUUUUCACGAAAUUUUCCUUGGAACUACCAUAUUUAAAUUAAUUUCAAAAAUAGCCUUAAUUCUUAGCAUCAACUUCAAAGAAGAAAUGAUGACCAUAAACACUUCUGUUGACGCGAGUUUUCUGAAUUGCUUUCGAAUUCUAAUCUGUUUUUUUUUGCGAGUGAAAAUUUUUUAUACGAUUCAGGUGGUACAAAACCUAACCACCUCAAAUUCGAAAUAUUUCAAAACUAAAUUCGAGAAAAUCGUGAACAAAUUUUGGAAAAUCAAUUAAUCUUCAAUGUUUCUGAUUCUUCAUUUCAAUAGAAUUCUUACGCUUGGUCUAGAGUACCUCGAAAACUGCUGAAAUUUUCGCAUUAUUCAUAAAAAUAUCCUGCUAAGGCCAAAUUUAUAUUAUUUUUCAAAUCUUCACAUUUUUAACGGUUUAAGACUUAGAAACAUUGAAGACUUAAUUUAUACAUUCCAAUAAAUUCCCUUCAAUUAUUUUUAGCAUCAAUUUAGGAGCAGUAUGAUUCAAAUUUUUCAAAGAAGAGAGGCGAAAACUUAAAAAACGGUCAAUAUGAAAAAAUAUAAAUAAAAAUAAAAAAGAUUCAAAGGCUUCUGUAAUAUUUACAGCUUUUUCCGUAAUUUCAAAUUGCCGUUCCGAAAUUGAAAAAAAUCUUUCCAUGAAUUUUCACACUCAGAAGUUUCAAAAACCGUAGAACCAGAAUCUGCAAAUAUUUUCGUGUGUACAAUUUUUUCUUUCAAAUCUCAGUUCCGCUCUGCUCCGUCCUCGCAAUAUAUCACUAUUUAAAUCGAAUUCGAAAUGCUAUAAUCAUCAUUAUUGUGUAGAUAAUCAAUAAUCAAAAACACUGGAAACAAGGUUUUGUUUCUUCGUAAUUCAUGCGGUCUCUCUCUCUCAUUAUGUAUGUUGAUGUUAUUAUUAUCGUUAUUUUGUUCGUAAAAGCAGUCUAUGGGGGAAAAGGGGUUCCGGUCUCCUCUGCAACUCCCAAACACGGCUGACACCUUGAAACUGUCCCCUCUUUCGAGAUGCACUCUCAAUUGGAACAUUUUCAUGAAAAAUAUGUACCUAUCAUCACUUUAUGUAAUGCAUUUCAAUCUCAUGUUUGUAAUUUUAAUUAUUGGGUGAGUACGUAAAAAAUACCGAUAAAAAUGCCACUUCUGAUCAACUUUAAUGUUGAAUCAUAUUUUUAUAGAUUGUUGUGCGACAAUUCAUCAUUUCGGAGAUUUUGCAAUUUCAAACAUUAUUACCUAAUAAAAUAAUGGUUUUCCAAUAGGAAUUAUAUAAUUUGAAAUAGUUAUAUUGGCAACACUGUGUAUUACUCUUUGACAUUUCUUAUGUCAUUUGUGUUCAAUAGGUUAUGUCGUUUGAUCAUAGUAAGAUACAUGCUUCAACAACGUUUAGAAAUUGUUAAAUUGUCAGUGUUCAUUAGUGAAUACUGGGAGCAAUUUGAGAAAAAUUCAUCGACGGCAUUUUUCAGUUGAUCCACUCACUAUUGGUCGUAUUGUAGAUAAAUUUGAUUCCUGGUAUUCUUUACACGAGUAAAGUAGAAAAUUCACUUUCUAAUGAGUCUUCUCAAAUUUCACUCAGUAAUCCCAUAGGAACACUGAUUUUGAUAAAACAAUUCAACAAUAUCUAAACCUUGUUGAGACGUGUAUCUUUCCAUAAUCAUAACAUAACCUCCUUAAUAUAAUUGACAUAAGAAAUGUCAAAAAAUUAAUACUCAGUGUUGCCAUCUGAACCAUUUCAAAUUCCUAUUGGAAAACAAUAUAUUUGUUAUCCUCGUGAUGUCUACAUGUAUAGCAAUGAAGUGCAAUAAAACUAGCUCAAUUAAAACAUAAAAUAUCUUGAAUAGGACACGUUGAAUUUGAAAAAAAAAUACUAUAUAUAUAUUUUAUUUGUAAUGAAAUUAAUUAUCUCAUCAUCAUAUCAUUAAUUACAGGAAAUGAGUUCGUAAAAAUCAAUUUUAACGUGCAUACUAUGUAUACUAUUUAUCAAUGGAGGUCAAUUCCGAAAAUCAUAUCAUACAUAUUAUGUUAAUACUUUGUAAAUGUUGAAUGCUCAAAAUAAUAUUGAUAUACCAGCUAGAUAUUUGAUGGUCUCUUGAAGCCAAUGAAGUUCUAAUUUUACAGUUCAGUUCAUGUCAUCUUGAAGAGACUAUAAUGUAAAAUUUAUCAAGUAUUUUAUUGCUUAGACGUUUAGUUAAUCUCGAAUAUUUUUUUUUGGCAUCGAUUCAGCUCGAAAGAGAGGAUAGUUUCAAACCUACACAAAGAAUAUGCGUACGUCCCGUCACAGGUCGUCAUUCAUUGUCAUUUAUUUGUCAAACCAGUAUGAAUCUAGUCAUGUUUGUUACAAUUUAAAAUAUUUUAUAAAUGUUGAUUAAUAUACGACAUUCCUAUUUCA